CACAAUAGAAUCAUGUUUUUAUUCGUGCAUUGUUUGAGUUUGUCCUUUCCUCCAUGCAGAGGUUAGCUGGUGCAACGCUGCUGGUGUUUGCCAACAAACAGGAUUUACCAGGAGCCCUGUCGAAAGAGGCAAUACGAGAGGCGCUGGCCCUGGAUGAGAUCAAAAGUCAUCACUGGUGUAUCAUUGGUUGCAGCGCAGUCACAGGAGAGAAUCUGUUAACCGGAGUGGACUGGCUACUAGAUGAUAUCGCUGCAAGGAUCUUCACCACUGACUGAGUGUUUGAGCGCAGACAUGACUCCAAGCUCAUCGUUGGACUACGGUGAUCGAAAUCAAGCUCAAAUUUCUCUUUUUGUUCCAUCAGCUGUUUGAGGUCACCAGACAUGGGUGCUGAUGUCUGUAUCCAUAACAUGAAUAUAACCUGGUUUACAUACAUUUUAUUUAAUAUUGACAUUUGAUUCUGAUAUUGUCUGAGACGGGAGACAGAAACAGCAAAAGCUUUUGUCAAAAUGAACACACAAUGAAACCUAAAUUAAGUUUGUUUACAGUAUGCAAUGCCUGACAUGAAUCUUGUUCUAAUACAUUUAUAUUCCUUUUGAAUAAAGAUUACUUUGUCACUG